GGUGAACGCUGGCGGCGUGCUUAAGACAUGCAAGUCGAGCGGGCUCUUCGGAGCCAGUGGCGCACGGGUGAGUAACGCGUAACUGACCUACCCCAAAGUCGCGGAUAACGAUUCGAAAGAAUCGCUAAUACGUGAUGUGCUGUCAGAUCCUGUUCUGCCAGUAAAGAUUUAUUGCUUUGGGAUGGGGUUGCGUUCCAUCAGCUAGUUGGUGGGGUAAAGGCCCACUAAGGCGACGACGGAUCGCCGGCCUGAGAGGGUGGCCGGCCACAGGGGCACUGAGACACGGGUCCCACUCCUACGGGAGGCAGCAGUUAGGAAUCUUCCACAAUGGGCGAAAGCCUGAUGGAGCGACGCCGCGUGAGGGAUGAAGGUCCUCGGAUCGUAAACCUCUGAAUCAGGGACGAAAGACGCGAAAGCGGGAUGACGGUACCUGAGUAAUAGCACCGGCUAACUCCGUG
rnacentral:rRNA from 1 species